UAUGGAUGUAAAGUAAGUAAACUUGAGUAGUAUUUGUUAUGGUCUUGAAACUUAAAGAAUUUGGCGGUAUUUUAGUCUAUUUAGAGGAAUCUGUCCCGUAAUCGAUAAUCCACGUUGAACCUUACUUGAUAAAUUAGCAUGUAUAUCUCCGUUGUUGAAAAUCUUUUUAGGGUAAUUUCUUGAAUUUUUAUUAACAAAAAUUUCAGGUCAAGGUGCAGUUUAUGAUUGAGUGGAGAUGGAUUACAAUAUUUCUAGAUAUAUGAAUAAUUAAUUGUAAUGAAUAAUUUGAAGGUGGAUUUAAUAGUAAAUUUGUGAAGAUUAUUAAGUUGAUUAUAGCUCUAAGAUGUGC
rnacentral:rRNA from 1 species